ACACAAAGCAGCAUAGAAACAUCAGUGUCACAGACUCACAGACCUGUGAAGGAAGGAAACAAGUAUCGGUUCUGUCGUUACCUACUUCUGUUGCCACGCUGACGUGGAGCCCACAGCUCCAGCUGACUGACUGUGUGUGUUUGCAUAUGUGUCCUGUUAAGAGACCAGUGUUGAUCAGUGUGUGUCCAGGUCUUUCAGCGGCAGCACCAUGAUGAUGUCUCUGACUCUACUGCUGGCCACCCUGGGGCUCCUUGUUCAGGGUUCAUCAGGUCAAAUCACUGUGACUCAGACUCCUGGAGCUUUGUCUGUUGCUGUAGGACAGACUGCUACUAUUAGAUGUAAAACUAAUCGAGCUAUAGGUGAUGAAAUGAGCUGGUACCUCCAAAAACCUAGAGACGCUCCUAAACUCCUCAUUUAUUCAACUACAAGGCGUCAGUCUGGAGUCUCUGAUCGUUUCACUGCCAGUUAUUCUGGUACUGACUUUGCUCUGACCAUCAGCCGAGUUCAGGCUGAAGAUGCAGGAGUUUAUCACUGUCAGCAGGAUCACAGUCGCCCGUUCACACAGUGAAACAACGUCAUACAAAAACGUCCUCAGCUGCAGAGGAACUGACCUGAAUCAACAGCUGCAUAGCAGAAAUACAAAGGAUAGAUAUAUAAACAGAUAUAUAAACAUACAAACAGUAUAAAUAAAAGGCCACCAGUGCAAGAUAAUUAUAAUUAGUACAAUAUUUUAAGAUUUCAAUUAGUGAGUUUUAUUAAUUGAACUGUUAGUUUUGAUUUAAUAUAAAAUAUAGUUUGUAUAUAUUAACAUAUUAAUGAUGGACAGUUUAAUUGAGUUUUUGUCAUGAACAUAUUUUGCUGUGAACAUUUUGAAACGUAACAUCUUACUUUGUUACAAACUGGUGUGUUCAGACACAAACUAUAUCCGCUCCUUUGAACUGGAAACUACUGAUCGACAAACAAAGAAACAAAUUCAUGAAGUGUCUUUAAUAUUUUACAGGUUUUUA